GACGAACGCUGGCGGCGUGCCUAAUACAUGCAAGUCGAACGCAGUGGGGACGGGUGAGUAACACGUGGGUAACCUACCAUCAGAGGGGAUAACACUUGGAAACAGGUGCUAAACCGAUACUGAUGGAUGGACCCGCGGUGCAUUAGCUAGUUGGUGAGGUAACGGCUCACCAAGGCCACGAUGCAUAGCCGACCAGCAAGGUGGAUCGGCCAAAAUGGGACUGAGACACGGCCCAGACUCCGAUGGGAGGCAGCAGUAGGGAAGCGUCGGCAAUGGACGAAAGUCUGACCGAGCAACGCCGCGUGAGUGAAGAAGGUUUUCGGAUCGUAAAACUCUGUUGUUAGAGAAGCGGUAUCUAACCAGAAAGCCACGGCUAACUACGUGCCAGCCGCCGCGGUAAUUC
rnacentral:rRNA from 1 species